GGAAUCUUCCACAAUGGGCGAAAGCCUGAUGGAGCAACGCCGCGUGUGUGAUGAGGGCUUUCGGGUCGUAAAGCACUGUUGUAUGGGAAGAACAGCUAGAAUAGGAAAUGAUUUUAGUUUGACGGUACCAUACCAGAAAGGGACGGCUAAAUACGUGCCAG
rnacentral:rRNA from 1 species